AUAUUGUGUUGGGGGCAUUUUCUUAACAAUUCCUUGUAGCUUUCCCAGGUAUUGUAUAAGGACUCAAAUUCAAUUUGCAGAAAGAAAGAGAUAUCAAUCCUUAACUU